GUCCGAUUUAGCCAUGCUAGUUGCGCGAGUUCAGACUCGCAGCAGAUAGCUCAGUAACACGUGGCCAUUCUACCCUGCAGACACGGACAACCUCGGGAAACUGAGGCUAAUCCGCGAUACCGAUCCCACGCUGGAAUGCCGGGAUCCACAAACGCUCCGGCGCUGCAGGAUGCGGCUGCGGCCGAUUAGGUAGACGGUGGGGUAACGGCCCACCGUGCCGAUAAUCGGUACGGGUUGUGAGAGCAAGAGCCCGGAGACGGAAUCUGAGACAAGAUUCCGGGCCCUACGGGGCGCAGCAGGCGCGAAACCUUUACACUGCACGCAAGUGCGAUAAGGGGACUCCGAGUGCGAGGGCAUAUAGUCCUCGCUUUUGAGAACCGUAAGGUGGUUCUCGAAUAAGAGCUGGGCAAGACCGGUGCCAGCCGCCGCGGUAAUACCGGCAGCUCAAGUGAUGGCCAAUCUUAUUGGGCCUAAAGCGUCCGUAGCUGGCCGUGAAAGUUCGUCGGGAAAUCCAUCCGCUCAACGGAUGGGCGUCCGGCGAAAACUUCACGGCUUGGGACCGGAAGGCUCGAGGGGUACGUCCGGGGUAGGAGUGAAAUCCUGUAAUCCUGGACGGACCGCCGAUGGCGAAAGCACCUCGAGAAGGCGGAUCCGACAGUGAGGGACGAAAGCUAGGGUCUCGAACCGGAUUAGAUACCCGGGUAGUCCUAGCCGUAAACGAUGUUCACUAGGUGUGGCACAGGCUACGAGCCUGUGCUGUGCCGUAGGGAAGCCGAGAAGUGAACCGCCUGGGAAGUACGUCCGCAGGGAUGAAAACUUAAAGGAAUUGGCGGGGGAGCACUACAACCGGAGGAGCUUGCGGUUUAAUUGGGACUCAACGCCGGACAUCUC
rnacentral:rRNA from 1 species